UGAGGAAUAUUGGUCAAUGGGCGAGAGCCUGAACCAGCCAAGUCGCGUGAAGGAAGACAGUUCUAAGGAUUGUAAACUUCUUUUAUACGGGAAUAACGGGCGAUACGAGUAUUGCAUUGAAUGUACCGUAAGAAUAAGCAUCGGCUAACUCCGUGCCAGCAGCCGCGGUAAUACGGAGGAUGCGAGCGUUAUCCGGAUUUAUUGGGUUUAAAGGGUGCGUAGGUUGUUCGGUAAGUCAGCGGUGAAACCUGAGCGCUCAACGUUCAGCCUGCCGUUGAAACUGCCGGGCUUGAGUUCAGUGGCGGCAGGCGGAAUUCGUGGUGUAGCGGUGAAAUGCAUAGAUAUCACGAGGAACUCCGAUUGCGAAGGCAGCUUGCCAUACUGCGACUGACACUGAAGCACGAAGGCGUGGGUAUCAAACAGG
rnacentral:rRNA from 1 species